UGUUUAAUGGGAGUGAGUUCCAGAGGGAGGGGGCAGCGAUGGAGAAAGCUCUGUCUCCCCAGGUUCGGUGCUUGGUUUGUGGGGGGAUAGACAGGAGGUUGGCUUCUGAUGAGUUAAUUGAAAGACCGUUCUUUAAUACUAUUAUAAUAUUUAGGUAGCCGAAAAAUAUCCACUCUUUUUGACUUAACCUAGCUGUCCUACAUUUUAUUUCUCCACAGAUGUACUGUCCAUUCUGUGGUGCCAGCGUGACAUCUUCGCAUGGCUUUUGUGGUGUCUGUGGCAGAGACAUCACAUUUCUAAAAGAUGUGACUAACAAAGUCCCUGAGGAGAUGCCCACCACUAGUGCGCAUCUAAGUGCACAGCCUAGCACCAGUGCAGAUUUCUGUUGGAGUAAUGAGGAGGAUGGAUGGCUGCCAUAAACCUGUGAGAGGGAGGUCACUUCCCCUUAAUGUUGAACCUCAAUGGGCAUGUGAAGAACUGUUGGCUGCUGCCAUAAAAAAGCAGAAAGCCUUUAACCAGGACUUGGAAGAUGGUGCCCAUGUCUUGUUGUACCCUGAUGCGACGGUGAUAACAAAUAUCCCCGGAACGGACACCCCUUUCACAGUACAGAUGUACAAAGAGGCCAUUGGAAAGCCCUACCAACGAAUUACGUUGUACAUCUGUACUCUUGAAGCCGUUGAAAACAGUUGUUACACUGGAACAACCUCUUCAAGUGACGAGGACAGUGUGGUUGUUGCAAAGUUGCCAUCUGGAGACAGUCUUGCUGACACCGUGGUGUGGGACUUUCCAAAUGAACAGAGCACUCCCAGAAUGGACAACAGUUUGCCAGGACCUCUCAGGCACCCACAACCAGCGUCUGAUCGGUAGGAUGGAGAACCAACCCCAUUCCAGGAAGAGGUCCAGUCUGCCCCGGGUCAGAACACCUUCUAUAGGUAAACGAUGUUGACAGUUGCAUCGUGACACAGUUGUUUGCAACUACACAACUGUGUAUGCACUUAUCAUUAUUGACAGCCAGUCUGAGCCAGAAGAGGAAACGGAGCAAACUGCAGAGGAAAUCACAGAAUACCUGACUGCGCCAGACAUUGUUGCAGAACUCUCUGCAAAAAUUAAAAAUACCUCUUGCAGCAGGUUCAAUAUUAAUAGAGCCAAUGUGUAGGAUGGAGCAAUCCGUGGCUUCAAAGGGGCCUCAUUCGACCCCUCUCAUCAGAUGCA